AUUAUAAUAAUUGAAUUGCAGUCAAUAGGUGUUAUUUAUAACUAUCCUUA
rnacentral:tRNA from 1 species